ACGGGAGGGGCAAGCGUUAUUCAGAAUAAUUGGGCGUAAAGAGUUCGUAGACUGUAUUGUAAGUUAUUUGUUAAAUUUUAAAGUUUAUUUUUAAAUCAGCAUAUAAUACUGCUUUACUAGAGUUUUAGUUAGAAAAAUAGAAUUCCAUGUGAAGAAGUAAUAUUCGUAGAUAUAUGGAGGAAUAUCGUAAGUGAAAACGAUUUUUUAUUAAAAACUGACGUUGAGGAACGAAAGUAUAGGUAGCAAACAGG
rnacentral:rRNA from 1 species